UGAUAUCACCCAUACUUAAUGCCUCUUUUGCUUCUAUCCCCAUUCCUAUACAACCCCAAGCAGCUGCAGGUAGGUGGAUCCAGUCUCCUUCUUGUGCCCCUCCUAUACUCGGAUGGUUCUUGAGUAUAGCUGAAUCGCCGCAGAUUGAUCUUCCAGAGUCCCAGCAGCUCAGAGCAAAUGGGCAGUCCCAGAAGACGUGAAGGGUUGUCUCUUCCGUAGAGCAAUUGCAAAGCUCACAUUUGUAGUUGGGCAGUAUGAUUUUUUUCCUGUGAAGAAGGUUUCUGACGUUUACUCUGUCGUGGAGAAGUAGCCAGAUGAAAAUCUUGUAUCUCAACAUUGCUGUACAUUUCCAAAUUUUGGCAAAACUUGGGGGAGCUUUCUCUUGCUCUUGUAGCUGAUGAUACAUUUUGAUCGAGGAGUAUUCUGGGUUUUGCCAUGGGUAGCACCAUUUGUCAUGGGCAUUAGUCAAGGCAGUAUUCUGAACAAUUUUGCUCAACUGCUGAAACAGUUCAUAGGCUUGGAUAGAGAGAGGGGUGUGGAAGUGUUCAAUUGGGUCUUCUGUCAUCUUCAUGCUCUUGACAGAGAUAAAUUCAUUUUUGCUGAAAGAGAAGAGCUCAGGGAAUCUUACGCUGA